GAUCCAAAGAGAAGAAAAUCGUGGCUUUAUGCUUUAUAUAGAACUGAUUCAUCUUGCUAAAACAAACUUAGGUCGCAAAACAUGUCUAAGUAUGCUCAAAACAUUUUGUAUCUGAAUAUUAUGUACAAAAAAGUCAUUGCAAUAAAUCUCAAGUUAUUAAAGUCAGUUAACAAAUAAGUACUGACAAUUCAUUGACUGGAGUGGAAGAUGUUAGUGUCUUGAACCAACAUGAAACAACAAGUUAACUUAGCUGAGAAUGAUGGUAGUUUAAAAAUAAUGCAGCAUUGGCUAGGAUUGUUCCUAGGUCACAAAAACAAUCUUACAAAUAGAGUUUCUGCUGUUGUCACUGGUUUUAGAGAGUACCUUCGUGAAUGAAGAUAAAAAGUCAUUUAUGUUAUUUUUUAAA
rnacentral:lncRNA from 1 species